GGAAAUAAAAUGAUCUCUAUCAUAAUACAUACAUGCACAAGUUAUAACUUUAGUUGUGUUAAAAAGAAUAUGAUUUUUUUUUCUUUCUUUCUUUUUUUUCAUUUUUCUUGAGUGCAACCUAUUUUAGAGCACUCUCUGUGGAAGAAAAAUUAGUGAAAUCAUUUUGAGAUGUACUUAGACAAAUAUAUACUCUAUCUGCUAUGAAUUGCGUAGGUACUUAGGUGCAUAAAUUCGUUUUUAGCGUCUAAUUUCAUCCAUUUAGUUAAAGGUUAUUAAAGGCUAAUUAAAAGUUUGUUAAAGGUUGUUAAGUAUACUCAUGCAAAAGUAUGAAGUUUUCAAUCCAACAUAAUUUAGAUCCUAGGUCAUCCUCCAAGUUUCUGAGAAUCCAAAGAAGAAGACAACAUAUUCCUUCAACUGAAAAUAAGUUUUUUCCAUAAGUAUCAAUUACCUACUUACUCAGUUAUUAUUAAUUUUUGUUUUCUGUUUGACAGAGAUAAUUCUGCAUGUGCCACAUAUUACUUCGAAUCAGAGGAAGCCAAAAAUAAUGACACAUGCACUUGGAUUCGUCAUAAAAAGCUGGAAGUUGGCCCUAAACAUUACGCUGAAAGGAGAACUCAAAUAGCAAUCCGAUCUAAAGAAUGUUCCCAAGCCUUAGAUUUACUCCACUCACUUAACUCAGACUCAGUGACCAAUAUCUUAGACUCAUCUACUUUUCUAAACGACUUUAAAGUAAGUUCAUAUAUUUUGUUUCAAAUCAAUUAUUAUUUUUCAUCUCUUUCCCUUGCUUGUUCGACUUCUUGGAAAAGAACAAGAUGAACAUCAGGCACCCUCAAUGCUACAUUGAGGAAACGCCAAAAUAUUUAUUUCUUUUUAUGUAUUACAUAAACUGAAUCUUUUCAAUAAUGUGAUGCUGAGACUAAGAAAUUUAGUGCUUUAUCUCAAAUGAGUUGCAAUGAUUGCCAUCAAGUUCUCAACCAAAUAAUUCAUUUACGAAAGACUCCUAAUGCCAGUAACUAAGGGGCACACUGGAAGUCAGGGUGGUAAAAGGUUAAAAAGAUUCAAGAUUUUUUUGUUCUCAAGCUUUUUUGUACAUGAAUAUUUCAAUUGCAACUGGAAAUUUUGCACUAACGAUCGACCAUGUAAAAAUCAGUGAAAGCUAUUAAUUUUAUAAAAAAUUUACAAGAAAAAACUGACUCUCCUACUAAAGUAGGUUAUUUUACAGAGCGUGCUUCAGUAGGCAAGGCAGCAACCAAGACGUAUUCCGAGAAAUACCUACUCUAGUAAAGGAGUGUGAGUGUUUUCAUUUAAGCAUUUUUUGAAACUAGAAAGCAUUCCAGAAUAUAAAAAUAUCGAAAGAAUGGAAUCUUCGACACCUGUGCAGCAAUGUGGUCACAUUAAGAUGUUAGGUGCGCAAAACUUGGUGAGGAAGGUCAGUUUAACUGGAAGUUUAUAAAGGAACGGAAGAAAAAAUUAAGCAUCAUGUUUCCUAAUCAAAAUUUCACGUGUAAUGAAGUGGCUAAAUCAAGAAAAUGAUCUAUCUUUUGUAAGUGAAAUGUUCUUUUACCAUUUUUUAUUGAGACUCUGUGACCCAUGUCGGAGCGAAGGUGACUAAUCCAAAUCACUCUCCUUUAUCACCUGCUCCGUGGCAUUAAUGUCAAAGUUGAUUGCAUUUCAAGUCAAUGCCCUUUGUGUGCGUGUGUUUUUUUUUCUCAAUUAUCUCGGUAGGACAGAAAUAAACUCUGUGUCAAUCACAAAUGAAUGAAUAAUUCAACAUGAGGUCAUGUCUUGGUUGAUCUCUUGAUGCAGCAUCUAUCACCAUGUUGUCAGAUCAGUUCGUAAAAUCCUCCUAUUUUAAAUUACCUGUCAUGCAACCACAUUUGAAAACUAGGUUUACUUCCUGAUGGUGAAAUUAGAAAAAAUUUGCACUCAAAUGUGCUGAGUCGCUGGGAACAUGAUCUAAAACUUGAGGUAUUGAGGUUUGAGUGUACCUAAUUGACAAUGCUGAAUUUCAUCUCAUGUUGUUUUUUUUCUUCUUCUCCUCACUAAAAAGUAAACAACAUUCUGUCUGACAGUUUUGUGACAAUGAAUUCUUUAUAAUUUAGGAAAAAUUAAUUGAAAGUUUCAAGGCAAGUUUUAAGUUCACUCAGUUUUUGGUUUUAAAAAAUGGAACAUGAGUGAAACUAGACUUCUUUAAAAGCAGUCAGGCUGAUUCUUAGGGAAGAUCUACCAAAUCCGCUGUCAUCGCUAAUGUGAUUUUUUUUUUUUUUUGGCACAGGGGAGACUGGAUUUAUCUUCGCCAACAAUUUCAGGUCACUCAUUUGGUGGAGCAACUUGUUUGCAGACUCUCUAUAAUGAUGAACGAUUUCAGUAAGUCUUUUAUCCCAAAUUAGACAUGAUCAUUGUUCCAGCUUCAGGAAUAGGCCAAAGUCACUAAAUUAUUAUUAGAAUUUGAUUAGGCUUUGACCAUAACGAUAAUUGCAUCAGACUAAGUUAUUUUAAUGAGGCCAUGUGUAGGAGCAUACUCUUUUCAAAAUAUUUAAUUCACCCUUUGUACUAUUUAGCAGUUGCUCCUGAAGUAGUCACAAAUACGAUUUGUGAUCAUUUAUGGAGGAAAAGGUAUUCCCCAGGUAGAAUUUUCGCCAUUAGCACACUAGGCAAUGUAGUACAUAGUGAUUUUAUUUCCUAGAUAAUGUAGAUUCACUUUAAACAGGUCAAGUGCAAAGAACAUGCCUGAGUUAUGAACUUUUAGAAUUUUCUCGUCACUGCCUCUUUCGCUAUGAUUCAUUGAGAUUUCUAUAAUUUUUGUUGCAUGUUUUUAUUCUGAAGGGGUCAGAAAAAGAAAAAU
rnacentral:lncRNA from 1 species